UACGUAGGGGGCAAGCGUUGUCCGGAAUCAUUGGGCGUAAAGGGCGCGUAGGCGGUUCGCUAAGUCGGAUGUGAAAACUCUGGGCUCAACCCAGAGCCUGCAUCCGAAACUGGCGGGCUAGAGUUCUGGAGGGGGUAGCGGAAUUCCUGGUGUAGCGGUGAAAUGCGUAGAUAUCAGGAGGAACACCCGUAGCGAAGGCGGCACUCUGGGCCGAUACUGACACUGAGGAGCGAAAGCGUGGGGAGCGAACAGG
rnacentral:rRNA from 1 species